rnacentral:rRNA from 1 species
UAUGUGAUCGUCUCUCGCAUAUCAAUAAGCGGAGGAAAAGAAACUAACAAGGAUUCCCCUAGUAACGGCGAGUGAAGCGGGAAGAGCUCAAAUUUGAAAUCUUAAAGGGUUUCCCUUUACGAAUUGUAGUUUAAAGAAGUGUUUUCUGUUGAGGUUUUUGGUAAAAGUUCUUUGGAACAGGACAUCAUAGAGGGUGAGAAUCCCGUAUUUGACCUUUACUUUCAACUUUGUGAUACACUUUCAAAGAGUCGGAUUGUUUGGGAAUGCAGUCCAAAAUGGGUGGUAAAUUUCAUCUAAAGCUAAAUAUUGGCGAGAGACCGAUAGCGAACAAGUACCGUGAGGGAAAGAUGAAAAGAACUUUGAAAAGAGAGUUAAACAGUACGUGAAAUUGUCAAAAGGGAAGCGUUUGACACCAGUGUUGUUUUUCUGAAAAUCAAUUAAAGAACUGUUUAUGCUAAGUUGUUUAGACUUUAUCAGCUAACUGUUUAGUUUUGAGCUUUUCUUUAAUGCACUUUUCAGUUAACAAGUCAACAUCAAUUUCUUUUGCUGUAAAAAAGCUUGAGGAAGGUGGCUUGAGAUUCGUCUUAAGUGUUUAUAGCCUCUUGCCUAUGCAGUCGGAGAGAUUGAGGUCUGCAGCGUAGAUCCUUCGGGGCUAAAUGCAUUUGUGCUAAGUUAUAGCAUUUUAUAGACAACUUGUUGACUAUGAUUUGUCUUGUAGCUUACUCGCUUAUGUUAUUUUACCUACGCUUAGGAUGUUGAGUCAUCACACAUCUCU